UCAGACGGUGGCUCAUAAGGC
rnacentral:piRNA from 1 species